CCUGAAGAUGGUGUUUCCUACGCCUCCAUCAGCUACACCAGGAAGACCAACAGUAAAGGCCGGGUUCUGGGUAAAGAUGGUGAUGAUGAAGAUGAUGCAGUGAUCUACAGCAGCGUGAAAGCUUCCUCUUCUUCUGCUGGAGCCUCAGCUGAUCCCAGCGACCUCUACGCCACCGUCAACAAACCAAACAAAUAAGAGACCACAGUUUAGUUACAGCUCAUAUCAUUACAGAGGAAACUGGCAGUGGUGAAGCCGUUCCUACGAGUCAGAGACAGGAAAUAUAAAGACCACGUUCAGUUUUACUUGAUCCAGGCAGGCAGAGUCAGAACAGCAGGUAAUAAUGCUGCAUUUGACACAUGAAGUUGGAUUUUCCCAGUUUCCAGUCGUAAAUUCCAACUUGAACGCCCCCUUAAGGAGACAGAGUGUUACACACUUCUCUGCGCUUCCAUUUCAGCUUUUACCAAAACUUCAUAGUGACGGCGUCUGCCCCCCCAACCAUUUAAAUUAAUUAAAACUGUAAGUAUAAAAUUAAAACCACUGCUGUAAUAGUAUAAAAGAAAUUAAAGGUGUAAAUGUAUAAAUAAAUAACAGAAUAUGAUGCAGUAUUUAGCUGCAAUUUUUGGACAAUGCACGUUUGUUUUUUCUAUAUAUUUAAAUU